UUCUGGGUGGCAGAAUUACAUGCGAUAGCCUUAAAAUCUAUAGAUAAGAAUUUAUUUCUUCCUAGAAA
rnacentral:tRNA from 1 species